UAAACUAUUUGUAAAAAAAAAAAAAAUUAGAACAAUACAGAGAAGGUUAGCAUGGCCCCUAUGCAAGGAUGACACAUGAGUUUGUGAAGCAUUCCAUUGUUUU